GAUGAACGCUGGCGGCGUGCCUAACACAUGCAAGUCGAGCGAACAGACGAGGAGUUUGCUCCUCCGACGUUAGCGGCGGACGGGUGAGUAACACGUGGAUAACCUACCUAUAAGACUGGGAUAACUUCGGGAAACCGGAGCUAAUACCGGAUAAUAUAUUGAACUGCAUGGUUCAAUAGUGAAAGACGGUUUUGCUGUCACUUAUAGACGGAUCCGCGCCGCAUCAGCUAGUUGGUAAGGUAACGGCUUACCAAGGCAACGAUGCGUAGCCGACCUGAGAGGGUGAUCGGCCACACUGGAACUGAGACACGGUCCAGACUCCUACGGGAGGCAGCGGUAGGGAAUCUUCCGCGAUGGGCGAAAGCCUGACAGAGCAACACCGCGUGAGUGAUGAAGGUCUUCGGAUCGUAAAGCUCUGUUGUUAGGGAAGAACAAAUGUUUAAGUACCUAUGCACGUCUUGACGGUACCUAAACAAAAAGCCACGGCUAACUACGUG
rnacentral:rRNA from 1 species